rnacentral:rRNA from 1 species
AUUUUUAAUUCAACAUCGAGGUCGCAAUCUUUCUUGUAGAUAAGAACUCUUAAAGAAAAUUACGCUGUUAUCCCUAAAGUAACUUAAUCUUAUAAUCUCUAUUAAAGGAUCAUUUAAAUUAAUUAAUAAUCAUUAUUAUAAAAUUUAAACAGUUAUUAUUUUUAUUUAUAUCGGCCCCAAUAAAAUAAUAAAAAAAAAAAGAAAUUUAAACAACUAAUACAUUCUUAUAUUUUUAGAUUAUCAAAUUUUAUAGGGUCUUAUCGUCACUUUAACUAAUUUAAGCUUUUUUACUUAAAAAUUAAAUUCAAAUAUUUAAAUUAAGACAGAUUAUUUUUUGUUCAACCAUUCAUUCAAGCCUCCAAUUAAAAGACUAAUGAUUAUGCUACCUUUGCACGGUCAAAAUACCGCGGCCCUUUAAUUUNNNGUGGGCAGGCUAGACU